rnacentral:rRNA from 1 species
UACGGGGGGGGCAAGCGUUGUUCGGAAUUACUGGGCGUAAAGGGCUCGUAGGCGGCCAACUAAGUCGGACGUGAAAUCCCCAGGCUCAACCUGGGAACUGCGUCUGAUACUGGAUGGCUUGAAUCCGGGAGAGGGAUGCAGAAUUCCAGGUGUAGCGGUGAAAUGCGUAGAUAUCUGGAGGAAUACCGGUGGCGAAGGCGGCAUCCCGGACCGGCAUUGACGCUGAGGAGCGAAAGCCAGGGGAGCAAACGGG